rnacentral:rRNA from 1 species
GAUGAACGCUGGCGGCGUGCCUAAUACAUGCCAGUCGAGCGAACGGACGAGAAGCUUGCUUUUCUGAUGUUAGCGGCGGACGGGUGAGUAACACGUGGAUAACCUACCUAUAAGACUGGGAUAACUUCGGGAAACCGGAGCUAAUACCGGAUAAUAUUUUGAACCGCAUGGUUCAAAAGUGAAAGACGGUCUUGCUGUCACUUAUAGAUGGAUCCGCGCUGCAUUAGCUAGUUGGUAAGGUAACGGCUUACCAAGGCAACGAUGCAUAGCCGACCUGAGAGGGUGAUCUGCCACACUGGAACUGCGACACGGUCCAGACUCCUACGGGAGGCAGCAGUAGGGAAUCUUCCGCAAUGGGCGAAAGCCUGACGGAGCAACGCCGCGUGAGUGAUGAAGGUCUUCGGAUCGUAAAACUCUGUUAUUAGGGAAGAACAUAUGUGUAAGUAACUGUGCACAUCUUGACGGUACCUAAUCAGAAAGCCACGGCUAACUACGUG